rnacentral:rRNA from 1 species
AGAGCGUAUGGCGGAUGCCUUGGCGCUGGGAGCCGACGAAGGACGUGGCCAGCUGCGAUAAGCCUCGGAUAGCUGCAAGCAAGCAUCAACCCGGGGAUUUCCGAAUGGGGCAACCCACCGAGAGUAACGUCUCGGUACCCUUGCCUGAACACAUAGGGCAAGCGGAGGGAACGCGGGGAACUGAAACAUCUAAGUACCCGCAGGAAAAGAAAGAAAACUCGAUUCCCCCAGUAGCGGCGAGCGAAGAGGGAAGAGCCUAAACCAUUUAUCUUCGGAUAAAUGGGGUUGUAGGGUCGCCAAUCAAGCCACUCAGAUGUCUAGUUGAAGCGGUCUGGAAAGGCCCACCACAGAAGGUGACAGUCCUGUAAGCAAAAGACAGAAGAGGGCGAGGCGAAACCUAAGUACCACGGGGCACGUGAAACCCUGUGGGAAACCGGGAGGACCACCUCCCAAGGCUAAAUACUACCCAGCGACCGAUAGUGAACCAGUACCGCGAGGGAAAGGUGAAAAGCACCCCGGGAGGGGAGUGAAAAAGAACCUGAAACCAUAUGCUUACAAUCAGUCAAAGCACCAUAGGUGCUGGAGGCUAGAGGCUAGAAACUAGAGGCUAGAGAAUAGGGUCUGGAAUAGAGUUGAAGAUUUAAUCAUUCAUCCAGCAUCCAGCAUCUAGCAUCCAGCUUCUAGAGUUCCAGCUUCCAGUCUCCAGCAUCUGGUGUAAUGGCGUACUUUUUGUAGAACGGUCCUGCGAGUUAUCGUAACAAGCAAGGUUAAGGCGGAAAGGCCGGAGCCGCAGCGAAAGCGAGUCUGAAGAGGGCGCAAGUUUGUUAUGGUAGACCCGAAACCGGGUGAUCUAACCAUGGCCAGAGUGAAGUCUCGUUAACCCGAGAUGGAGGCUCGAACCACAUUGUCGUUGAAAAGACAUGGGAUGAGCUGUGGUUAGGGGUGAAAUGCCAAUCGAACCCGGAGAUAGCUGGUUCUCCCCGAAAUAGCUUUAGGGCUAGCCUCAUGGAAUAACUUACGGAGGUAGAGCACUGAUUGGGCUAAGGGCCUUACCAGGUUACUGAACCCGUUCAAACUCCGAAUGCCGUAAGGAUUACCAUGGGAGUCAGACGAUGGGGGAUAAGCUUCAUCGUCAAAAGGGAAACAGCCCAGACCUUCAGCUAAGGUCCCCAAGUUCGUGCUAAGUGGGAAACGAGGUGAAGAUGCACAGACAGCCAGGAUGUUGGCUUAGAAGCAGCCACCAUUUAAAGAGUGCGUAAUAGCUCACUGGUCAAGUGUCUUUGCGCGGAAAAUGUAACGGGGCUCAAGCACGGCGCCGAAGCUAAGGAUUCUCGUAACUCGUCGCUGGUCGCUCGUCGCUCGUGGAGGUGGACGAAAUGUCCGGAUAUCGUGAUUUGGAUGUAUUUAUUAACGCAUACGAAUUAGCGUUAGAAGUACACCAAAUAACUAAAGAACGAUUUCCACACCACGAACAGACAGAGUUAGGCAGUCAAAUCAGACGAGCAAGCAAGUCAAUUGCGUUGAAUAUUGCUGAAGGAUACGGAAAGAUGAAUCUUUCCAAGAAAGAGUUUGUUAAGUAUCUGUUCAUAGCAAUGGGUUCAGCGGAUGAAGUUGCUGUCGAGUUAGAAUUUUGUAGAGACUUAGGUUAUGUCAGUAAAGAUGAAUAUGAAAUACUGGCCGACCGAGUUGAUAAGAUUGGGCGUCAACUAAGACGCUUAAUUGAAUCACAAAAAUAAUUCGAGCAACGAGCGACGAGCGACGAGGUACGAGAGUGGUAGGGGAGCGUUGUGUACGCAUCGAAGCUGUACCGAAAGGAGCAGUGGAGUAUACACAAGUGAGAAUGCAGGAAUGAGUAGCGAGAAGGCAGGUGAGAAUCCUGUCCGCCGAAAGCCUAAGGUUUCCUGAGGAAGGUUCGUCCGCUCAGGGUUAGGCGGGACCUAAGCCGAGGCCGCAAGGCGUAGGUGAUGGACAACGGGUCAAAAUUCCCGUUCCACCGUAUCUUGUUUGAACGAAGGGGUGACACAGAAGGGUAGGCCAUCCGGCUGUUGGAGGUCGGUCUAAACGCGUAGGGUGUCUGGUAGGCAAAUCCGCCAGACGAAAAGCCCGAGACGUGACGGGGAGCGAAAUAAAGUAGCGAACUGGUUAAUCCCAAGCUGUCGAGAAAAGCCUCUAGUAAGAGAUAAGGUGCCCGUACCGCAAACCGACACAGGUAGGCGAGGAGAGAAUCCUAAGGCGCGCGAGAUAACCCCUGUUAAGGAACUCGGCAAACUGACCGCGUAACUUUGGAAGAAGCGGUGCCUCAUUACCGUAAGAUGUUUAACAUAUCGAGCGGGAAGGGGUUGCAGAGAAAUGGCCCAGGCGACUGUUUACCAAAAACACAGGUCCCUGCUAAGCCGCAAGGCGACGUAUAGGGGCUGACGCCUGCCCAGUGCCGGAAGGUUAAGGGGAGAUGUCAGGAGCAAUCCAAAGCAUUGAACUGAAGCCCCGGUAAACGGCGGCCGUAACUAUAACGGUCCUAAGGUAGCGAAAUUCCUUGUCGGGUAAGUUCCGACCUGCACGAAAGGCGUAACGACCUGGGCGCUGUCUCAAUGGGGGGCUCGGCGAAAUUGAAAUACCAGUGAAGAUGCUGGUUACCCGCGGUUAGACGGAAAGACCCCGUGGAGCUUUACUCUAACUUGGUAUUGAGUUUUGGUGUCAAAUGUACAGGAUAGGUGGGAGCCUGAGAAGCCGGAACGCCAGUUUCGGUGGAGGCGCUGGUGGGAUACCACUCUUUUGGUACUGGAAUUCUAACUGCAAGCCGUAAACCGGCUGCCGGACAUUGCCAGGUGGGGAGUUUGACUGGGGCGGUCGCCUCCUAAAAGGUAACGGAGGCGCCCAAAGGUUCCCUCAGCGCGGUUGGAAAUCGCGCGUUGAGUGUAAAGGCAUAAGGGAGCUUAACUGCAAGACCAACAAGUCGAGCAGGGACGAAAGUCGGGCUUAGUGAUCCGGUGGUUCCGAGUGGAAGGGCCAUCGCUCAA